UACGGAGGAUCCGAGCGUUAUCCGGAUUUAUUGGGUUUAAAGGGUGCGUAGGCGGCCUAUUAAGUCAGGGGUGAAAGACGGUAGCUUAACUAUCGCAGUGCCUUUGAUACUGAUAGGCUUGAAUGUACUUGAGGUAGGCGGAAUGUGACAAGUAGCGGUGAAAGGCAUAGAUAUGUCACAGAACACCAAUUGCGAAGGCAGCUUACUAAAGUAUGAUUGACGCUGAGGCACGAAAGCGUGGGGAGCGAACAGG
rnacentral:rRNA from 1 species